GAUGAACGCUGGCGGCGUGCCUAAUACAUGCAAGUAGAACGCUGAAGGAAGGAGCUUGCUCUUUCCGGAUGAGUUGCGAACGGGUGAGUAACGCGUAGGUAACCUGCCUGGUAGCGGGGGAUAACUAUUGGAAACGAUAGCUAAUACCGCAUAACAGUAGAUGUUGCAUGAUAUCUACUUAAAAGGUGCAAUUGCACCACUACCAGAUGGACCUGCGUUGUAUUAGCUAGUUGGUGAGGUAACGGCUCACCAAGGCGACGAUACAUAGCCGACCUGAGAGGGUGCUCGGCCACACUGGGACUGAGACACGGCCCAGACUCCUACGGGAGGCAGCAGUAGGGAAUCUUCGGCAAUGGACGGAAGUCUGACCGAGCAACGCCGCGUGAGUGAAGAAGGUUUUCGGAUCGUAAAGCUCUGUUGUAAGAGAAGAACGAGUGUGAGAGUGGAAAGUUCACACUGUGACGGUAUCUGACCAGAAAGGGACGGCUAACUACGUG
rnacentral:rRNA from 1 species